UGGAGAACAGGGACUGGGCCUG
rnacentral:miRNA from 1 species